GACAAAAACACCACGGACGCCACUUGUUAAUAAACUCAGUAGAAGUCUGAAGCCAGCAGACACAGGGUGCUGAUAAGAUGACCACCAAGACUGUCAGCAGGCAUAGCCGUGGCAAAUAGACCUGCAUGAAAGGCAAACACUGAAAAGGCCAAUGCUAUGACAGCUUUGGCCUUUUAAGGGAAGCAACAGCAAAUGGUAUUAGCACAAGGUGUCAACAUGGCGCUGUUGGAGAAAUACUGCUGUAGCAGGGUGAAACACAUGCUGUCAGCUGUCAGAAAUGGCAGCGGGGAGCUACUUUGUGCACUCCUGCCCUUGUUCUGCGUUCCCUCCGCUCCUUAAGGUCCCCGGUGAGUUCUACACGAGAGCCGCUGACCUGGAAGAAGGCUGAAUCUGGCGCUUUUUGCCAGGAACUCUUUGGCUCUGGAAGAAGGAACUGCAACUGAUGACCGUGAUGGGGCAGUACCAGUUCCUGCCACUGGAUGGAGGCAGAACAAGGCAGGGGGGGGGGAAGAAAGGCGUGAUCUUGUGUAAGUGGCCGUCACUGGAUACUGGAAAGAAGAGUCAACAGAGACAUAAUGAGCGGCAGUAUAAAU